rfam:Candidatus Scalindua brodae SCABRO_contig000008, whole genome shotgun sequence.
GGGCCCAUAGCUCAGUUGGUUAGAGCAACGGACUCAUAAUCCGUGUGUCCUAGGUUCGAGUCCUAGUGGGCCCA